CGAACGUGCUAACCACUAAGCCACCGUGCCCCCAAAAACAGUUGUUUUAUUUAUUUAUUUAUUUUUACAUUUACAUUUUUGAAGGUCAUUGUACCUGUUUUUUGUUCUUUAGGUGUUUUAAAGUGUAAAUUGCACUGACAUGAGCUGAGUGGUUAUGGUGCUGGACCUCUGACUGGAAGGUCUUGAGUUCAAAUCCCUUAAUCCUCAAUUGUACAAAGAAAUUGAGCGGAUCGCUGACUGGCUGAGACGAGUCUCUGGUGUCUCAGUGUAUACCUGUGUUGCAUUCUGGGAAACUGAGUUUUAAGGAGAUAAUGCUGAACCCUCAGGGCAAUGGUGGCUUAAGCGGUUAAGGCUCUGGGUUGUAUAUUAGAGGUUCAGGGAUCAAACCACAGCACUACCAAGCUACCACUGUUGGGCCCCUGAUCAAGGGCCUUAACCAUUUGUGCUCCAGGGCUGCUGAAUCAUGGCUGAUGAUGUGCUCUGACCCCAGCCUCCAAAGUUGUGAUACGAGAUGAAAGAAUUUCACUAUGCUGUAAUGUAUAUGUGACAAAAUAAAGACUUCUUCUUCUCA